rnacentral:rRNA from 1 species
CUAUGCGCCUUCGCCACGCCCGCUACAGAAACUACAAAGGAAUUGACGGGCCCCGCACAAGCAGCGGAGCGUGUGGUUUAAUUCGAUGCUACACGAAGAACCUUACCAGGGUUUGACAUACAAGUAGUAGGGAAAGGAAACUGGACCGACCCUUCGGGGAGCUUGAACAGGUGCUGCAUGGCUGUCGUCAGCUCGUGUCGUGAGAUGUUCGGUUAAGUCCGCUAACGAGCGCAACCCUCGCUGUGUGUUACAAGUGUCACACGGAACUGCCGGUCAUAAACCGGAGGAAGGUGGGGAUGACGUCAAGUCAGCAUGGCCUUUAUAUCCUGGGCUACACACACGCUACAAUGGGAAGGGACAAUAGGUUGCGAAACCGCGAGGUGGAGCCAAUCCAGCAAAACUUCCCUCAGUUCAGAUUGCAGGCUGCAACUCGCCUGCAUGAAGUUGGAGUUGCUAGUAAACGCAGGUCAGCCAUACUGCGUUGAAUACGUUCCCGGGGCUU